rnacentral:rRNA from 14 species
UUCAACAACGGAUCUCUUGGUUCUGGCAUCGAUGAAGAACGCAGCGAAAUGCGAUAAGUAAUGUGAAUUGCAGAAUUCAGUGAAUCAUCGAAUCUUUGAACGCACAUUGCGCCCGUCAGUAUUCUGGCGGGCAUGCCUGUUCGAGCGUCAUUACGCCC